AACGAACGCUGGCGGCAGGCCUAACACAUGCAAGUCGAGCGAGACCUUCGGGUCUAGCGGCGGACGGGUGAGUAACGCGUGGGAACGUGCCCUUUGGUUCGGAAUAGCCCCGGGAAACUGGGAGUAAUACCGGAUAAGCCCUACGGGGGAAAGAUUUAUCGCCAAAGGAUCGGCCCGCGUUGGAUUAGGUAGUUGGUGGGGUAAUGGCCUACCAAGCCGACGAUCCAUAGCUGGUUUGAGAGGAUGAUCAGCCACACUGGGACUGAGACACGGCCCAGACUCCUACGGGAGGCAGCAGUGGGGAAUCUUAGACAAUGGGGGAAACCCUGAUCUAGCCAUGCCGCGUGAGCGAUGAAGGCCUUAGGGUUGUAAAGCUCUUUCAGUGGGGAAGAUAAUGACUGUACCCACAGAAGAAGCCCCGGCUAACUCCGUGCCAGCAGCCGCAGUAAAAC
rnacentral:rRNA from 1 species